CCUCUUUUCGGUCAGCAUCGCAGAACAGAGUGGAGGGAGUUCGUGUCUGAUUUUCUCUACUCUUCUCCUCUUCCUGUCGCCCUUCCCUCAACCUUUCACCGUGGUGUUAUCAUCUACCCAUCGCCGGCGGUUCUUCCUCGCUCUUUCCCUCUCUUGUUCGUCGGCCUCUAUGGAGCUGAGUAGUUAAAACUUCUCCUCUGUUUCUCACGUCAUUGGACCCCUUGUUUCUUCUCCUCCAUUCUGUUCGAUCGAGGUAGCGAGCAUGCAAGGAGUUGAGCUACUGUUGGAAGUCCGAUUGUGUUACUUCCAUACUUGUUCACGGUAUUAGCUGGUUCUUCCUUCCCUUGUAUCUAGCUGCAAAAUUUUCUGCUCUUCUCUCGUUCAUAUAGUUGCAGAUUUAGGCGUUGAGUUUUUUUUCUCCAUAUUUGAAUGCCCAGAAUUUUUCCUUCCAGCUUCCGCCAUUAUUCAUCUAAGAAUACUGUUGCUAACGGCAGUUCCGUUAGCCCUUGGCGCGCCAUGGUACACCUAGCUAACAAGGUGUGUAUAGGAGGUGCUAGCUACGUGCGAUGGUCAAUGCACGUGGAACAGAGGGAUGGUUAUUCAUGAGCAUCGUACUCACGUUUGUUUCAUGACUUCAGCUGCAUUUGGUUACAUACUCUUGUGAACUGUGUGUUUACGUUUGUUUUGUGACUUUGGCUGCGUUUGGUUAUUUACUCUCAUGGACUGUGUGUCCAUGUUUGUCUUCGUGGCGAGAGUUGCGUUUGGCUAUUUACCCUCAUGAAUUGUGUGUCCACAUUUGUUAAUUGUUUUGAUAAGUUUCUAUUA